GAAGAGCUGAAACAGAGGGAUGCCUUCUACAAGGAACAGGUGGCCCGCAUUGAGCAGAAGAAUGCUGACAUCUACAAGAUGACUUUGGAACAAUACCAUGAGGCAGUCACCAAUGCAGAAGAUCAGAUCAGGCGGAGAAACACACAACCUAUAUGUGCAAACCUGCAAGCAGAGAUCCUGAAGUGCUACAAUGAAAACAAGCACCAAGUACUCAACUGCUCAGAGCUGGUCAAGGAGUAUCGGCGUUGUGUUAGCCUAGCACAAAAGGAACUGUUGGUCCAUUUUGAUUAAAGCCCGGCUGCCAGCAGAAGUACAGAAUGCAGGGGACCACCAAAGCUCUUAGAAACUCAGCAUCUUUUUGGAUGCAUGCUGGUACAAGUGGGUGCCUUCUGUGCAGUGGGGUCCAGAAAAGCAUCGUGUCUCCGAUAUACAGAUGCCUGCAUGUAUCAGUCUGAAUUGAUGGAUUUGGACUCGAGGAAGAGCCCCAAGGUUGGGGAAGAAAUGUUCUGCAAAAUGGGCAUCAAGAUCCUCAUCCUUCUUUCACAGAAAUUUCACUGAGAGAAGAAUCCUCAUGGACAGAUUACAUUCUCCUUCAGCAUGCAAGACGGAGGCCCCCAUUAGGGAAAAAAAGCUUGUUAACUGUUGUUUUCACUGUUAUCUAGUCUGUGUUUCACAAGAUGUUGCCUUCGUCCUUGUUUCUUAAUGCAAGGCAUCUGAGGAACAUGGGGAAAUGCCAGAGCCCCACUUGUUACGGUCAAUACUGCUCUCCACAUGUGUUUUCAUUUGUUGAGUGAGUUGAGACCAACUGAAGCAUUCCUUCUCCCUCCUCUUUAACACUCCCCCUAAGAAAAAU